GAAAAUAUUCCAAGAGAGUGUCCCAUUUACUAAUGAAAAUCAUGAAGAAGGCAGCACGUGAUGAAGGACGUGCAAACGCCACAGAAGAUCAAGUUUUACUGAAGUACUGCCUGGCACUGACUGCAGCUUUCCUGGUUUCCAUGCUGGCAGCCAUGAUAACGUGCUGUCUGCUUAUCCGGCGAUGGAGGCAGAGAAACCAGCGCCUCGCUGCAGCUGAUGGAGCCCAGCACGAUGUCUGCGGCCACAGUUUGCCCUCGUCCUGCUCUCCUCAAGGGGCCUGGCAGAUGGACAUGAUGCCAGCACCCGUGACCACCUGCCCACCGGCCGGAUGGCACCACCAGGGCGGCCCCUGCCAGACCUGACAGCAGCCGGGCUCAGCUGCCCCCGCCACGGGCCCCACAGCCCACCAGCCCAGGCUCUGCAGCCCGGGGGGCAUUAACACCACCCCCCAUCCCCCACCGCCAUCUUUUAGGGGACAGGAGGAACCCGCUUGGCUUGGAAGCUUGUGCUCAUUGGCUGGCACCCAAACAACGGCACCCUGGCGGAUGAGCAACAGGCCCAGCAGCCCCCCAGCCGCCCUGGGCAUCAAGACCACCCCCCGUCCCCCACCACCAUCCUUCGGGGGUCGGGAGUGGUCCCUCAGGGUGUCAGCCUGGGGGCAGCCA
rnacentral:lncRNA from 1 species